UUGCAAUAGUCUCUGGUUAGUUUCAACAUGGUCCAGCUUCUGAUACUUCAGCAGGCUAUGUGCUGUGUCACCAAACGUGUUCAGAUUAUUUACGUAUUUUCUAAAGAAUGGCUCCUUAUAAGAUAAAGAGAUAGAGAUGAUGAAAAAUGGAGAUACAGACCUAGAUGAUAAAUUGGGUACAUUUUGAGUAUAUUUAGCAGUAGCAGUUUCUUCCCUUCUCACACUCGGAAUUUAACAAACUUCAGGCUUUCAAGCGGGCCCUUAUUUUUCUACAACAGCCCUUAUUUUCCUUAUUUGAGCUUUAGAAUCCUAAAAAAGCCCCAAUUCUUUGUUGAAAUUCCUACAUUUUCAAAUUUUGAAAGUUUAAAUAAAUUUGACAUAAAGUUAGUGUUGGAAUUUAUUAAAUUCAGUCUUAGUAUACUUUCAGAAAAUGAAUAUGUUGAUUAACUGUACAUCUCAAAAGACCUCUUGAUGGUUAUCAGCUAUAUUCAGCAUUGAUUGUGAGCCAUGGGAGUCCACGGUAAUUAGUUUUUGUAUUAUUGCUCUUGCAAAUGGUGAGUAAAACAUUUUUUCUUUCCUAUUGAUUUGUAAAUAUAACCCUUAUUUUUGUCAAAAGCCCUUAAAAAUCCUUAAAAAGGCCCUUAUUUUAUAAUUUUGCCCUAAAAAUGGCCCUUAUUUUUUGCAAAAUGUCGAUCACUAUUGAAAGCAGUGAAACUUUAAAAACUUAUAGUACGUAUAGAUUUAGGUCCCUGCAAUUAUUUCAAACUGCACGCAUGCAUAACGCACACACACACACACUUAUAGUGACUUACUUUUUUAAUUGAUUACAAAGAUCUAAUAUGAUGUAUUGUAAGAUUAUUUAUGGGGAUCAAAUGGGCAGACAACUGUUGCAAACUUAAUUUUCAACGCCAGACUACUGAAUUUACUAGUACAAUGUUAAUCAUUUCAAUUAGAAGUUAAUAUUUACUUUUUUAUCUUUAUUUACAGGCAUUUGAUGACAUGCAUGGUUGUUUAUUUAUAGCCUGCAAAAGAAAUGACGCUAUGAAUCUAAUAUAUAUUUGCUUCUCAGUCAAACAGAUGAUGACCGAUGACUGGAGUGUCUGCACUGACUUUCAAGGGUCAAGAAAUCAGCACAAUGUCCAGUACCUGGUCACAUCUUUGGAUUUGAAACCCGCUUUUAUUGCUCCUUGGACAUGGAAUAGUGAGCCUACAGGGAAAACGCUACCUUGUCAUGUGGAGUUGUCUCCCAUUGUACUUUUAACAAUAUGGUGGAUGCAGCAGAAUGCAGAUCCACGUGCCACGAGAUGGCAGACAGAGGGUUCUGAUGGGUCACAAGGCACUACAAAGACAGACAAUGUCAAUGCAUCUGUGAAAUGUUUGUCAUAUGGAUAAUGAGGUUCAUUCUGUGUUCAUUACUUAAUUAUGUCUAGUUCUUUAUUAUUAUUACUAGUUCUAAUAAACUCAGGGAGUGACAAUAUUUCCUUA